UUACGGCCAUAUCACAUUGAAAACCGGUUCUCGUACAAUAACCAAAGUUAAGCAUCGCCGAGCCUGGUUAGUACCUUGAUGAGUGACUACUUUAGAACAUCAGGUGCUGUAA